GCGCCGGAGUUCCGGGUUCGAUCCUGACCACGGGACCACAUGCUGGAUUUACCUAAAGGGUUGCCAGGCUGAAGCCUAGGGCCUCAAAAUCUAGGGGGCCUCCUGCCAAGGUGUAUAAUAUUUUUGACACUGUCAUAGG